AAUGCACCAAUUUGUAAGUCGCUCUGGAUAAGAGCUUCUGCUAAAUGACUUAAA
rfam:Salmo salar isolate Sally breed double haploid chromosome ssa15, whole genome shotgun sequence.